UACGGAAGGUGCAAGCGUUAUCCGGAUUCACUGGGUUUAAAGGGUGCGUAGGUGGGCAGUUAAGUCAGUGGUGAAAUCUCCGGGCUCAACCCGGAAACUGCCAUUGAUACUAUCAGUCUUGAAUAUCGUGGAGGUAAGCGGAAUAUGUCAUGUAGCGGUGAAAUGCUUAGAUAUGACAUAGAACACCAAUUGCGAAGGCAGCUUACUACCCGAAUAUUGACACUGAGGCACGAAAGCGUGGGGAUCAAACAGG
rnacentral:rRNA from 1 species